rnacentral:lncRNA from 1 species
GAUUGACUUCUUCUCCUUCAAUCGGGGCUGCUCUGUGAUUUUCAAAGUAUUAAUAUGGGAGUCCUUCAAAAUCUCUUCUAUGUGCUGGUGAAUACCAGUGGAAUGCAACUUCUUUUGCUUUAGAAGACAAGCUCUUAGCAAUGUCAAGUUUCCAGGUACGACCGAGAGAUAUUCAACAUAUUAUUAUUUCCACUAAGAUGGGAAACAUUUCCUAGGGGUUAUUUCUCUUUGACAGCAGAGAAGUAUCCAAGUUAUUCUAGAUAAUAAAGCAAAGUUUUCCUCAAGUCCUGUAUUAUAUGAGACUGC